rnacentral:rRNA from 1 species
AAGAGACAGCAGCAGCCACGGGAACACGUAGGUGGCAAGCGUUGUCCGGAAUUAUUGGGCGUAAAGGGCUCGCAGGCGGUCUCUUAAGUCUGAUGUGAAAGCCCCCGGCUCAACCGGGGAGGGUCAUUGGAAACUGGGAAACUUGAGUGCAGAAGAGGAGAGUGGAAUUCCACGUGUAGCGGUGAAAUGCGUAGAGAUGUGGAGGAACACCAGUGGCGAAGGCGACUCUCUGGUUUGUAACUGACGCUGAGGAGCGAAAGCGUAGGGAGCGAACAGGAUUAGAUACCCCAGUAGUCCCUGUCUCUUAUAC